AGAAGAUUUGAUAAAGUGUUGCAAAACUGAAGAACUGCCUCUGCUUCAUGAGAGCACUUUCCAAGACUCCUAUACAAGAUUCCUGGCCACCAGAGAUCUGCUCCUCAAAUUAACGCCUGCUAAUGUUGGGCUUGAUUAAAGGAAGCUAAUGAAGCCAUUUGAAGGAUGCCCUCCAGCCUUCCCUCUCUGUGUCCAUGUUCCCUUGGCAGAAAUCGGGGAUUUGAAAGCUGCAAUUCAACAGCAUCAUCCUUUCAUGUUGUGGACUGCCUGGCCUAUGAAUGGGACCUGCCCCAUGCUGUGUAUUACUAGGAGCCCGCUGGAGAACAAGGGUCUCAGAAGCUCACGUCACCCUACUGCCUCCUGUGUUGUGAUGAUACAGGCAGAGGAAGUCUUUCUUUCGCCUCUGUCUCUGGAGUCCUGGCAUCACCUUUGCUGACCUAUGCUUCAGCAUCCCCAGGGUAACAGGAUACAAUGAAAGAAGAGGAUACCAAGAGAGAUGUUGGAAAACUGAGCCCUGAUGACCUUUCUCAGCACUUGAACCAAACAGUGCUUUCAGUAGAACAGCGUCUUCCUCUUUCGUGCCCAGGAUGAAGUCAAAGCCCCCCACAGGAGCCUGUAAUGCUUAUAAGUGAGAUUUGCCUGGAUGGAAGCAAGCCACCAGAGCUUAUUUCUCAGAGAAGUCCUACGGUGGAGGUGACUGCAUGCCAGGAAAUUCACACCCUGCUGAAGGACUCCUCCACCAGAGAAUGGCACUGCAAUCCUUCUGCCACCUCCUGCUCUUGUGCA